CACCUAUACAUGAGAACAUACAAUAUUUGGUUUUCCAUUCCAUCUCAGAGGCCUUCAAGCCCCCAGGCCUGGUUCCUACUCUAUCAACUGCUCUCUGUCUCCAAAAGACUGUCCUUGCUAAUGUCACCAAGGACCUCUAUGAGCCAAAUUUAGGACUUUUCAGCCUUCAUUUGACUCCCAGUCCCUUCAAUAUUGAAGGCUGUUGACUACCCCUUCAUUUGGAAUCUCUCUGUCCCUUCUUUCAUGUCCUCACACUCUCUCUGACUAGUCCUCCCUCAAGCUUCUCACAAGGAAUGGCUUCCCUUUUCUUCAUACUGCACACUACUGCAGGGUAAGUUAAUCUAGCUCUUUGCAGGGAGCUGUGGACAGAGCUUGGACACACAGGCUGGGGCGUCUACACGUGCAUGCAAGCUCUCAACACACAGGAAGGAACUGGAGGUGGGAAAAUAACUCUCAGGCUGGUCAUGAUCUCUCAAACCAGAAUUCCCUUCAUGCCAGCUGCCUAUGGAGCCUCUAGUCAGUCAUUGUGAUGGUCAUGAGUGACCUCACUGAGUGCUGACUGUGAGCCAGGCUGAGUGAUGCACUUUACGUGGAUUAUCACCCUCUGUGGAGUCCCACACUCCUGUGACUCAGGUGUUGUUACUUCCCUUCAAGGCAUCAAGAAGUUAAGGGACUACCCAAGGCCACUGUAGCUAGGGAAACGCCAUGUGAAGAUUAUGGAUUUCUGCUGCCACAAGCCAAGUAACUACCAGAAGCCAGGAGAGAGGGCUGGAGCAAGGGAGCCUGGCCCUGACGACACCUUGAUCUCAGACUUCGGGCCUCCAUAAUUGCACGAGCCACCAUGCCCGACCAGGACCGGUGUUCUUAUAAGAAGAGAGAGACAUCAGGAAUGGGUGUGUACAGAGAAAAGGACACAGCAAGAUGGUGGCCAUUUGCAAGCCAAGGAGAGAGACCUCAGGAGAAACCAACCCGCCAGCACCUUGAUCUUAGACUUCCAGUCUCCAAAAUUGGGAGAAAAUAAACGUUUGUUGUUUAAGACCCCAAUCUGAUAUUUUGUAAUGGCAGCCCUAGCAGACGAAUACACCCACUGUACCAUCUCUUUACCCCAGUAGACUAUGAAACCCUUGGGGACAGGCACCAUUUCUUCAUCCCUCUGUAUUUCAAUGCCUAGCAUAGUGUCUGGUACCUGGAAGAUGGCCAAAAAAUACUAUCUGAAGGAAUGGUCAAUGAGCAUGUGUGACUCUUACAUGACAAUAUAAUACUGGUCAAAUGCCAGAUCAGAACCUUGAGAUGGCUCCCAUGGAGUCAUUAACAUGCUCUAAUUCACUAAUUGAGGUAGCAAUUGAUCUGGGGCUGGAGUCAGGAAGGGAUAGGUUACAGUGAAGUGUCAAAUAGAACCUGUUCACUGAGUUCCCUUGGCCCAGUGCUUGAUGACAGGAUGUCA
rnacentral:lncRNA from 1 species